ACGUAGGUUUUACAGUGAAAAGCUGAAGAAGUUGUGACGGCGAUGAAAGGACUGAAAGAUUUGCUCGAAGCAAAGACAUCUAGCCGAGAUACAUAUGCAACGAAGAGGAGGGAUCUUAUGUAGAAUAUGCAACAUCCAUGGUGCUGAAGGAUUCGUCGCACGCCAAACAGAGCACCCGAGGAGAAGAGGAGGAUGCUCUGAAGAGAGGAAAUGAUAUGUUUUUUUUGUUUUAAGAGCAAGAUAGAAGUUGAUAUGUAGUCC